AGGGUAAUAGCUCAGUGGUAGAGUGCCUGCUUAGCAUGCACAAGGUCCUGGGUUCAAUCCCCAGUACCUCCA
rfam:Camelus ferus unplaced genomic scaffold scaffold56579, whole genome shotgun sequence.